rnacentral:rRNA from 1 species
AACGAACGCUGGCGGCAUGCCUAACACAUGCAAGUCGAACGAGACCUCCGGGUCUAGUGGCGCACGGGUGUGUAACAUGUCGGAAUCUGCCCUUUGCCUCGGAAUAAUAGUUAGAAAUGGCUGCUAAUAUCGGAUGAUGUCGAAAGAUCAAAGAUUGAACGUAAAAGGAUGAGCACGCGAAGUUUUAGGUGGUUGGGGGUGUAAAGGCCUACCACGGCGAGGAUCCUUAGCUGGUUUGAGAGAAAGAUCAGCCACACUGAGGCUGGGAAGCGGCGCAGACUCCCACGCAAUGCAGCAGAGGGGGAUAUUGGACAAUGGGGGGAGGCAUGAUGCAGCAAGGCCGCGUGAGUGAUGAAGUCCUGAAAGUAGUAAAGCACUUUUACCAGGGAUGAUAAUGACGGUACCUAAAGAAUAAGCUCCGGCUAACUCCGUG